rnacentral:misc_RNA from 1 species
UGAUUUUCUAGAUUUACUUAUGGAGUACCCGCAUAAUCUCUUCUAUGAUGGAUACUGUAUAGCAGAGAUCAGAGACUUCAAAGGUUCUAUAAAUAAAUACCCUGUGAGAUCUUCUUUUUUGCUUUUGAAGCCAACAACCAGACCAUCAUGGGUGAUGUGCGAAUGCUCACAUAUGGUAACAACUGGACAAAAGAAGAGGAACUAGAUGUUGAAGCUCAGCUAUUGCUUGAAAAUUCUGGUCCUUUAUGUUUGGAUCCUGAUGUAGCAGUGUCCAUAAUUACGAAUUCCAUUGAGUACUAUAAAAAUCCGUUUGCAUCUCAAUCACUGAGAAUUCUUUCCAAGAUAAGACGAAAAUUUGCUCUGAAACAAAUUUCUCACAAAAAGUAUCUUGCUCCAGUAGAAACAAAACUUUUAGAUUUUAUUGAAGAAAAUGAACUACCCUCAGUGGGAAAGGAAGUAUUGAAAGAUGAUGUUUUCAAAUAUGAAAAUCCUCCACUGAUUGAGUCAGUACCACAUUCCAUAGCUCCGUAUUUGAAAAGAAGAAUUUUAAAGGUGGUUGGAGACAGUAGUUCAGUCUUUUCUUUAAGACCUAUUGAAGUUGAGGAAUUUGUGUUUGAAUAUGAAACACUUAAAGAUGGAGAUGUCCAGAUUAUGCGUGAUAAACUAGUAAUAACUCAGACUCCACAUGAUGGCUUCUACCAUGGAAUAUUGCAUCCUUGUGAAAAAGCUCAUUCAAGAAACUCAAAGAAUUUCUUUUGCCUUGGUAGCAGAUCUAAUCUUGACUUAUACAUCUGCCAGUUGACAAGAACUCUGUCAGAUUCUUUUAGUCGAUAUAUAAAGGUGUUACAUCGAGGUCUUGAGAGUUCAUCCAAAAUGAAUGGUGAAGAGAUUGAAGGUCGUGUUGUUUUCACUGCUGGCAUUAAACUUUCUGAGGAUUCUGAAGAUGAUUCACAGAUAAUGGAUAUGAGUGUAGAUAAUGAACAAAUUUCAGUGCAACCAUCUCGCCCUAUAAAUGUCAAUCCUUCGGGCUCUACUGAAGUGGAAUAUAGUUCAAACCCAAGUUAUUUUGCAAGUUCAGAAAGUACUCUUGUGGAAGGUACAACUGAUGAUGAUGAUAAUUCUCCAAAUGAUGUGGUUUCUAUUCCAUCUGCUAAUGAAAUUCCAGUGUUUCUUCAUCGUCCAUAUCAAAUGAGUUACUAUUCUGAUUCGAAUAAUGAUGUGUUCCAGUUCGAUGAAGAGAAGGGAAUUUCUUUCUGUUCACCAACUUCUGUAAAUUUUUAUCUAUUACAUGAAACUUUAGCACAUGCAAUUUUAUUGUGUUAAAUAAGAAUAUUGAUUCCAAAGAUAUGUUUGAAGCAGCUACUUCUUUAAUCAACUUAUCAUCUAGUUAUACCCUAUCUAACAACAUACCUUGAACUAUGUCAUAUAUCUGGAGCAAGAAUGGAAACAAUUGAAGAUUCAUCACAAUUCAGUUUGCAAGGAAAUUACAGAGAAACUACAUGAUCUCAAAAGUCUAAACACAUAUGUAAUAAUUUCCUAUGUUAAGAUUACAUUUUAUUUAAUAAAUACAAAAAGAAAAAACU